GGGCGUUGUACCAGCAGCAGAUGAGAGAUCUGGAAAGAAAGAAUGAAAUGCUUGGACUCAACAUUCAAAGUCAGCAGGAAAGAACGCAACAAUUGGGCAGUGAAAAGGAAACCAUGCAGGAAGAGUUGAAGCAUGGGGCUGCUGCUUUGAAGAAAGGAAGAGGGAACACUCUAAGUGCUGCAAUGACCAAGUUUAAAAUUGCCAAAGGGGCUCUGCAGAAACGCUUGGCCUUCCAGAAGGGAAAGAGUUGUAUCCAGCCAGGCACUGACAUUGACUUGCAUUCUCCUGCAUCGUCCCUGAAUUAUUCCAGAGAUGUUUCCCAUGGAGAGGCUGUGGGAGCAGAAGAGGAGCAGCUGUUUUGUGGCUCAAGGACCAGCCUGGAAUUUAAGAAACUGCUUGCAUCAGCAGAGAAGGAGAAGAGAGAGAGGCCUGAAUUAUCCACUGUGCCCAGGAGAAGUGGUGAGCAGCAGGCUGUUGGAGCACAAGAGGAGCAG
rnacentral:lncRNA from 1 species